rnacentral:lncRNA from 1 species
CAAGAAAUUAAUGAGCAGGAAGAAAAAAUGAAAAAUAACCCUUUCAUCUUUCAUCCUAUGGAUGACUCAAGUUUUGCUGCCAUCACAUGUACACAGUUGUCACUUGAGGACCUGUGGAAGCAGCAGUGUGACUGUGCUGCUGUACUGAAAGAAGUAUUUGCAGUGGAAAGACACUUUCUGUUUCCGCGCAUGUUCUUUCACUUUCCACCAGUCAUCAUUCCGCUUCGACAAAUUUGGAGGAAUCUGGCCACAUCUUUCUGGAAACUGAGCACAUUUGAAAUGAGUGUCAUUGAAAAGUUUAAAAAUAUCAUCAAUGAUAUGUUGGAAAUCUUAAAGCAAAUGCCUGUGUUUCUGGAUCUGCGGGGUGGUGAAAUAGCCAAGCACAUGGUGUCUGUGUUGGUGACCAUGGCUAAACAUCUGGAAAAGGAUGUUGCUGAAGCCCGAGAAAGGUACCACCUUUCAUUAAUUUGAUGUUAAAAACUUUAUUUCUUUACGUUUAUUCAUUUAGCUACUGCUUUUAUCUGAAUAUUCUCACAGUUUGUGAUGUUAAACAACUUGCCGCAUAGGCGUACGAGCUGUUGCAUUUAGACCCAAAAGUUCUAGGUUCAAGUCCCACCUCCAGCUGUUAUACCCUUGAGCAAAGUACUUACAUUACCCAGCAAGUUUUUUUUUUUUUUUUUUUUCUUUUUUUUGAUCAUGAUCAGUGAGCAAACUGAGGUGCAGUGCUUCUUUUACAUGAUUUAGUGGUCAGUCAUUACAUUGCAUUUUUCCUCUAGUAAACACAGUCAUGUUCUCUUUUUCAGGUCUGGAGAAAGUUUCAGUAUAUGUGUGAAAAAUACUUGGAAGGAAACAAAGCCAGUGAACUGGAAAAGCUUUAUGAUUUUCUCAAGAGAAAGAUGAAUGAAGACGAAAAUGAUUAUGAUAGUGAUUUGUCAGAUGGCAUCACAAGUACAAGUUGGACAUGAAGCCACAAAUGCAACUUAUUCUCGUACAGUCCUCUGUCCUCAAGUCGGACUCAUUCGCGGGGUUACAAAUGAAGCCAAAGACAAAGCAUCACAGAGGACUGUCCAUUUUUAUGAACUUUUAGUCCUGAUCAGAGUCAAGGGGUUUCAGAGCCGAUCCUGGAAUCACUGGGUGCAAGGUAGAGAGGGAAGAGCCCUGGACAGGACACCAGCGUAUCUUCACAUGACACUAUACAUGAAAAUAAUAUGUGAAAUUAACAACAACAACAACAACAAAAAAGAUUGGAAACACGAGUAAAUACAUGUAUUAGUAAAUUAGUGUUUUAAGUGACUCAACUUUUACAUGAGUAAAUUAGGUAUCUAUGUGAUGACUGGUAACUUACUAAUUUUUUCUAGUUUGUGCCCUACACCUUAAAAAUCGCACAGAUUUUUUUUAAAUUAAGGAAAGAAAUGAAAACCUUCAGCUUACCAAAUACACCAUAAUAAACCUCUGACUUCAAGAAGCA